rnacentral:ncRNA from 1 species
AAACUUGAAAGUAAGCAAACUUGUAUAAGUUAACAUAAUGGGUUAACGUUUCUACAAGACACCUAUGUCUUUUCUAUAAGUUAUAAUUAAAGUUCC